rnacentral:lncRNA from 1 species
CUAGGGCUGAAAUUGAGAAACUCCGCUCCACAUGAACCACAAAUAAAAGGAAGAAAUUCAGGAGACGACCCACAGACCCUCUGAAGGAAGUGGACUGCUCCUGCAGGACCCGGGAGACACCACAAAUACAGUGAGUGCCCAACUGUGGAAGUGGGAAAGGGAGACCCUCCUCUCCUGAACACACGGCCCCACAGGGGAGGCUGAAGGUCUGUUUGCGGAUAAGUUUCCGACCUUACCUGGAGCUGAGCCAAUUUUGAGAGCUGAAAUGCAGGGGUAGAGGAAGCAGCAGAAACGCCCUGGGAGCUCGCUAUGUCCCCUUGCUAGGGACAUUCCUUCCUGGCACCACAGAGAUCCAUCAGGGGACACAAGAGGCGAUUUCAAGAAACACUAAUAGGAUUGUGAGAAAGUUGGCCAAGGAAGAGGAACAGCCAAUAAACGGUGACUUGUCAAGACAGUUAGGACCCUGGGAGCUAAAUCUGCCUGGAGAACUCUGGAAAUCAGUGUGGAACACAUACUUCAGCAUCAUCUCAGCUAAUGGACAAGUAAGAUGGAGUACUGCUGGGUGGCCAGGCUGGAGUGCAGUGGUGCGAUCUCGGCUCACUGCAAUCUCUGCCUCCUGGGUUCAAGUGAUUCCUCUCCCUCAGCCUACCGAGUAGCUGGGACUACAGGUGUGCACCAUCACGCCCGGCUAAUUUUUUGUCUUUUAGUAGAGACAGGGUUUCACCAUGUUGGCCAGGAUGGAGUCAAUCUCCUGACCUCAACGAUCUGCCCGCCUCGGCCUCCCAAAGUGCUGGGAUUACAGGCGUGAGCCACCGCUCCCAGCUUAAUAAACUUUCUUAACUCUCACAGCUUCCCUUCCAGUCUUACAUAGCUUGUUUCACAUAAGAGUUACCUAGCUAAAGCAACUCAUUUCUUUAAGUGCUGAGCAUUUCCUCCUGUAUAAUCUCUACUUGGGGCUGCUUACCGGUUCUACUCUAGUUUCUACACAUUGUCAUGAGAUGGGAUAGUUCCCUUGACCCCCUUCACAGGCAUUUCACCCCCUUCAAUCAUUUCACUUAGCUUGAUGCUGGCCACUUCUCGCGAGAGGGAGCCUGUGAGCAAAUGAGUGUGUGAACCAAGUGAACAAACUCUGGAACUGAAGUGAACGAAUGCUGAAACCAGCCGGUCGCACCUCUCUGGUGGGAGCAGGCUUUGUGCAGGGCCCGCAGCAGCGUCCAAGAGAGUUACAACCAAUGGUCUUUCAGCUCUGCCGUCUGGGGACGGCCAAGUGCCAACCACCUCAGGGGAGGGUCAGGGUGGCAGCCCCUGCCCUCCCGACACCCAGGUUCUUGUCCAGCAUCCAGGAAGAAUCAGGUCACACGAACUGUUUGAAAGGUGAUGAAUGCGGAAGACUUUAUUUAGCGGCACUUCAGGAAUAUACACAGAAAAUGAAAGCCCAUUGUUUGAACAGAUUUCAUUAAACGAGAGCUCUACUUUAAGAAGAAGAAAAAAAUUGUAGACUACCAGAUGUUAUGGAUCUACAGGUAUUCCUAAGACCACUCCCUUAUGGGGAUCUUGUAUGCAAAUCUUUAUCACUGAGUCCGCCUGUUGGUGUUAGAAGAGGUCUGAGAAAACAGACCUAAAAGAGGACUCUAGAGCUGGAUCACCAGCUGUUCAGUGGACACGGAAAACCUUAUCACUAAUGACAUAGGAAAAUGAACGAGGCACAUUAACUCAAAGAUUUUGGACUUAUAUCUGCGCAGAAUUAUUGUUAUCUCCUUGAGAAUAUAAGCAGACUGCAUGGUAAGUUCCAGAUGGGAUUCCUCUGAAGUCCAGGUAAAUGAACUCAAGCGUAUCCUUCAUCCCAGUUCUGUGAUGAAAGCCUGCUGUUCCUUGGGAAGGCAAGAGGAGGAAUUUGAAUGGCAUCUUUGUUGGUGGAAGAGAGGGGAUGAUAAGAGUGCUUGUACAUGAUUCUUUGGGCUAGAUUAAAGGUCAUGUGGAAUCAUAUGGAUGAAGAAAUUUUCCUGCCAAAUUAGCUCCUCCAGGUUGUUCCACACCCUUGGGUAAAUGGAAGAGGAAAUUAGGACAGUGUAGCAACAGUGUAAAAUCAGAUGAAGAAGUUAGUCAUCUACAAACCAAGGAGAAAGCCCCCAGAAGAAACCAAGCCUGCUGACGCCUUCAACUCCAACGGCAGCCUCUAGAAUUGCCAGAUACAUUUCUGCUGUUUAAACUACUCGUUCUCUGUGGUACUUCAUUAUGGCAAACUUAGCAAACUGGUACACUGAUUUAAAGCAGAGGCAGACUAAAUCUCAGGUAUCUACAAUCCUUGCUCAAAUUUUAUUUUUAAAAAUAUUCUCUAAUUAAGGAAAUAAGUUACAAAACAAAUAGGAAAGCAGUUAGCAAUUACAGAGUGAAGAAAAUACUCUGAAGGAAAUAUUAUUUUAGGAUGACAUCAAGUCAGAUGCUACAGUUUAGCCAAUGUAGAUGUUAACUAAUAAAUGUAAAUGUUCAUAGUUGAUCCAGGUCAUGAAACUUGCCUAGCAAAAACAAAAUAUUAUUUGAAUUCUGGACUAUCUGAGUAGAAUUGCAUUGCAAAAAAAUUGUAUGCUGUCAAUAGGGACAGCAGUGUGAAAGAAAGCAAAACCUAGAAGUUAUCAGAGAGCCAAUCAUGAGUCCUAUGAAAUGGCUAAUCCUAAAUUGUCACAUCAGGAUCAUGAGUUUGGUGUUCAGUGAGUUUCUUAUAAAAUUGUAAUAAUAAAACUUGAGCCAAUGUGUGCUUCUGCAUUCAAAGCUACAAUUAGAGUUCUACUCUCCAAAUGCACUUCUGCAAAUAACCUCUCAUUCAUAAGCCUUCCAUGACCUUUAUGUUUGAAAUUAAGUCUUUUUAUAGCUUUUUUCUUGCUUUAAGUGCCAUUCAGCUUAAAUAAAGUCAAACAUUUAAAAAUAAUGGAUUUCAUCUCACAAGCUGCUGUAGUCACUUAAUUCACUCACUAAUUCAGUGACAUUCUCAUAAAAAUAACUUAUUUUGAUAUUUUAGUGUAUAUAAAUACUGCAGCUGACUAAUGCCUACUAAAAACACAUUUUCUGGGAUACCAAAAAAAUAUGUAUCAUUAUUUUAGGCUUUAAAUGGCAUAUAAAUGACACAAAUAAAUGGUUUUAUUUAGAUAUAGUGACAUAGCUAUAUUAGAUAAAGUGACAUAGCUCACAAACAAAAGUUUGUGAGUUUGCGUAACCUAUGUAAUUUGUGCAGUAUCGAUUUCUAAAAUUCAGCUGUAGAACUUGGUACUAUACUUAGAUUUGCUUUCUGUAUUGAUAAAUAUUGAAAUUGCAAUUCUCACUUAGCAUUUGAAAUAAAAAUGAUCCCGAAGGUUCUAUAAUGGUUGCUUGAGCUCCUCCCUCUCAAAUCUGUGUGCACUGUGCUGGGAAUUCACACUUAGAUAUUAUGGAGAAUCAAUUUGUAAGGGAGUAGUCUUUAUUUCACUUCAAUGAACUAAUUUUAUUUUAAAUGAAUGUAUUAGAAAAUUUGCUCAGAAAGUACUGAUAUAUAUUACAUUAUGAAAAAGAAUAUAUUAAAUCAGCACUCUGUGUCUAGCUCAGGGUUUGUAAAUACACCAAUCGACACUCUGUAUCUAGCUAAUCUAGUGGGGACGUGGAGAACUUUUGUGUCUAGCUCAGGGAUUGUAAAUGCACCAAUCAGCACCCUGUCAAAACAGACCAAUCAGUUCUCUAUAAAAC